rnacentral:rRNA from 1 species
UAAGUAGACAGUGGAAGCGUUCGGCUCAACCGGAUAUCCAUUGUCUAAACUGCUAAGCUCGAGGAUGAGAGAGGUUAUUGGAAUUCCCUGUGUAGGAGUGAAAUCCGUAGAUAUAGGGAGGAACACCGAUGGCGUAGGCAGAUAACUGGCUCAUUCCUGACACUAAGGCACGAAAGCGUGGGAGCAAACGGGAUUAGAUACCCCGGUAGUCCACGCCGUAAACUAUGGAUGCUA